ACUAUUUUGGCAGAUUAGUGCUUUGGAUUUAGAAUCCAAUUAUGUAAAUUAUUUACAGAUAGUA
rnacentral:tRNA from 1 species